GGUGGACCCCGCGCGGCGUUUAUCCUGCGAACUCCCCCAGGGCCGGAAGGCAGCAAGGGUCAACGGGCUCUAGCGGGUGCGCGGGGUCCCCUGCG
rnacentral:SRP_RNA from 1 species